GGCGUGCUGGGAACGAGGGGCUAGGGUAGAGCUGGAGGUAGGGCGGCGGUGGAGGACGGAGCGGGGCGGGGCGGGUCGGAGUGACGCGCGGCGGGCGGCGGGCGGCGGCUGCGCGGCGCGUGGCGUCGGCGCGGGCGUGGGUAAAGGGUAGCUACGCGGUUUGUCCCCGCUACUACCUGCCGCGGCGGGUCGAGGACAGGCUGCCUCAGCGGCCCAAGGGCGAGAGCCCCGGUUGGGGAGGGGACACAGCCGAGCGCGUAGCCGAACCUCCGGGGAGCCCCGACGGCGGCCACGCCCUCAGGACGCGUCGGCACUCCCGACCCCUGGUUCGCCGCCCCGGGCACCACGCAAGGACAACUCCCGAACGACCCCAACCGGCCCUAGACUCGGCGGCAGCUACCUAAAGAGUGUCUAGCAACAUGGUAGCAGGGCCAGCGGCGGCGCAGUCAAGGUGUGGCGAUGUCGUGUCGGAUGGUGGCGGUGAGGUAACCGAACCUAAACGAACGCCGUACCCGACCCUUGACAUGCCACAACAGACUACGUACAAGGCGUGACCCUCCAAACCAGCCGACUGCGAUCCCUUAGACACACUAGACAAGAUGAAACUGAACCUCACAUGUUGAUACUAUAACAUGCACUACUAAAAAAAAACUAAGACGAUGAUCUCCAGUCAGUCUCCACCAUUAAUAAUCACCGUUUUUUCUCCGCCAUUAAUAAUGUGAGAAAUAAACGUUUUUUACACUGACUUUGUUACGAUUAAUGUAUACAAAACAUGAACAUCCUUCCGAUACUUUCUUCACAAGAAGGGAAUAAAAAUACUUCCAUUCCAGAACAAGAACCUAAGGACGACGAGAUCUAACGAACCGUCGAGAUUAAAUAGUGAAGUACUGGAAUACGAGGUGGUAAUAGAAACUUGUGAACUAUGAAUAAAUGAAAAUAAACAACCGAAGAAAAAAUAUCAGUAGACUAAAUUUUUACGAUCGUACACGGUGAAAUCAUAGAAAGUUAAAGUCGUUUGUAUAACCUAAUAGAACUGUAUACAACCGUAACUGUUGUAUUAUAUCUAACAGUGAUAAUUAAAGUUACAAGUACGAGGUAGGAUAAAUUUAAGCAUAAACCUACCUUCAGUUGUGUGAUUCUUGACAUACGAAUUACUUACUACAAGUGUCGUUAAUGAGCUUAAAGAACGUAAGUGAACACGUCUGGCUACCAAUUAACACUUGAUACAUAUAAGACAUCCAAGAAGAAUCACUCUAGUUUGUUUCGUGUUAGCAUAAAAGAGCUUGAUAUGUGUACGAUACUAAAAGUACGAGAGACAUCAUUAAUACAACUUAAGAGUAUUAAGGAAAAAGUAAUAAUACGGUUUGUUAAACAUACGAUUUUUGUAUGAAGUAUUAGGGUAGAGGGGCGCAGCAGGGCUAAACAAGGUCGACCCGUGACGGAGCCGACGUUUCGCACACAAUAGGGUACUUCGUCCGGGAGGAAACGUUCCGACUGCUGCUAUCGAAGUUGAAGCGGCGGAUAAGACCAGCUACUACAGUAACUAUUAUUGGUCCUUCAAAAGUGACGAGUCAAGUAGGUCAACUUAGGAAGAUAACAUUAAGAUAAGGGAUGGAAAAGAAUGAGCAUCCUUUAAGUUCACACCAUGUGUACACUCAUAGAAGAGGAAGGGAGAUAACAUACGUACACCAGUAAACAAUAGGGCUAAUUCUUAGUUCUAGGUGAUGUAAGAACUUAUAACUUCUGACAAAAUCAACCAGGUCUAAUUUGAACUAUUUAUGUUAAAGGAACAACCAAGGUAGACUCAACAUAUUAACUAAACCCGUCAAAAGUCAUUAGAAUUCGACAGAAGUCUAAAAUCGAAGGAGUUAGUAAGACUUAAUAAAUUGGAGUCAUACUCCAUGUACACAAGGUUUUUAAUUAGGACUCUUUAAACAUCAACUGAUCAACCCAGACAAACUAAACAAAUCAUCUGACGUUGCCGUCAGUGUUAACAAGUCUAGAUAAGAUUUCGACGUAAUAAUCGUGACGUUAUAGAAACAAUGAAGUUGGUUUAUCAGGUCAGCACAGAAUAACUAAACCUGCCCAAGAAUGAUUAGAAAUUCGGUUGAAGUUUAAAAUCGGACGAGCCAGUUAGACCUAAUAAAUCACAGUUAAAACUACGUACAGAAAUUAUUUUAUUCUUUGACUAAAACCCACGAUUUUAUUUGUGAUUUGUGAUGAACAAGUACCGCUGAUACACAUCUUUCUGCUAGUACCACCUCUAGGGCUGCCAGCUGCACUUCGGCCCUACCUUAUUCCCGUGCUUCUAGUGGAAGGAUCUUCCUUGUUAGACUAAAAAAGCCAUGUCAAUACACAAGGUUUUUCAAUAACACUACAUUAAAAAUAUAAUUGUGAUUAGAUACUUCAAUACAAAGGUCUGUAAAGUGAAAAACGUAGUCGACUCCGUGUAAAAUAAAAGUUUAUUAAAGACUUCAUUUUCAACACUUACUUGACGUAUUAGAAAGUACACAGACUUAAUGUGAACUUUAUUUUUUAAUCUAUCGUUCCACGCUCCUUUACACUCUUUUCAACAGGUUUUGGCUUCUUGGAAAAAAUGAAAAGAAGGGUAAUGUACAAACGAUAAAUGUGAUACGAAAUAAAAAUGAUAUUACAGUUUUAAUAGUACAAAAUUCUACUUACCAUUUAGUUUAUUCCUUUUUUGAUACCACCGGUCUAAACCAUCGGGAAUCGGGAAUAGUACAAAAAUAUAGGUUUUAUGACAAACUAGGAACAAGUCAGAAUAAACGUCGUAUUUGAUACAUGUCAUUAGUAAUCUGGUAGAAACUUCUAGAGUGCUUGUUUUCGUCUUACCAAGAAAGAUAUGACAAGCUGGGGGGGAGGGGGGGGGAACGCAAGAGAGCGUCCCUCACCGAUCGCGCGUUGUGACGGUACGAGGAGACGACGAGGCAGUAGUGUCCCACCCUGCCGCUGGAGCGGAAGGACAAGUAACAAGACAGCCAUCGCUGCAAGAAACAGGUCCUAGUAGGCCUGUCCCUCCAGGAGGUCCGGUACGCAGAUCCGUACAUGACGUUGCGGCUGGUGUACCGAUUCUACCAGCAACGGCGUUGGCUCAAGGCACGAGAGGCAAGAAGUCAUUUAGGUCUACGCCUUUGAUUUUCCGCUCAUGGUACCCUAGUACUUCAUAUAUUUCGUUUCCUCCUCCUCACGGUAGAGGAGAGGUCGUUCUAUAAAAAAAACGACCCCUUACUUGCUUAACUUACGUUCUAACGUAACAAUGUUCCUGUCUCUCACCUGGUGGUGGAAGUCAAAGAGUCUAAGGGACAAACGUAAGCGGUAAGAGUUGUUCGUGGUCCUACACCGAAACCAAGACGUGUUUGUUAUAGAAGUUACCAAAGAUCUAGUUCGGGAUACAAGAAAUAGACUUGUUAUCUGUAACAUUAAGAAGGUAGGUAAUGGAGACUUUCAGUUCUUAGCUUUCUUUUCAGUAACCGUAUAGAGACAGUGGUUCCUUCCAAGCAAUCUGUCUUUUUACUGGAGACCAAUACAUACUCUACUACGUUACGUGUAUAGAGACUUACUUCGUGUUGUCCUUAAAUGUAGGACAUUACGAUUGACAACUAGUAAGAAGAGUCUUCAUAGUUCAGUAAUAGAGUAAACGGGGGAUAAGUAGACAGUACAGACGUACUUUUUUCUAACGUUAAGAUUAGGAUACAAAUUCCCAUCGAUUUAAAGAUGCCUGGAUGG
rnacentral:rRNA from 1 species